ACUGCCCUAUUUAAUCGGCCCCAGGAAAGGCAGAAGCCCUAAGCUUGCCCAUUUGGGCAGAGGGAUCCUCCUCAUCUCCUCACUGCCCAUCACAGCAGGAGGGAGAUUGCUGGCUGAGGUUAAACCACAAUAAUAUCUUAUGAAUCUGGCCUUCACCCCAAGGAUACAUUGCUGACUGAAGAAGGGUCACAGGUCCUUUGCUACAAAGUGCUUUCUAGACAGCCAUUGCAGACUUUGUGCUGUUGCACAGGCUUGUUCUGUUCCAGGAGCCUUACAUUUGUCAUUGCUGAACACCAUGAGUUUCCUGGCAGUUCAUUAUUCUUUCAGCUUGUCAAAUAGUAGCUUUGCCCUUUGGUAUAUUAAUGGCUAUUCCCAUUUUGAGCCAUUCAUUACCAAUGCAUUCCACUGCAUUGACCAGGUGAAGACACAGAACAGUAUUGAGUCCAGUAUCAUUCACUGAGGAACAUCACUCAUUACUAGCCACUUAGCAGACCUCAAGUGAGUUCUCACUAACUUUGAAAACAAAAGUGCAUACAGUUACUCACUCAUCUUGUAGCCUUCUUAUUCAGUCUAUACUUCCUAAGUUUGACUGCAAUACAUUUUUCAUCCUUCCACAUAUGGAAGCCUGACUUCAGGAGGAAGAAUAGAAAUUGUUUUCUUCCACCUUUAAUUUCUCCUGUUUGUUUCUGUCCUUACUGCAGAUCUCUUGCUGUGAGUGGCCUGCAGCACUUAAAUAAAAGGCAAUAAUUAUCUGCAUCCUACUUGAGGUGACUUGAAAGACCCAUCUGAAAGAAUCCUCUCUUGAGCAUGUAACUCACCUGGUGAUGUGAUGAUUACAUUAGAACUGAGAAGUGCCUCAACAAAGACGAUCGUGAAGAAUCUGCCUGAAGCUCUGCCCACUGAGAUAGCACACCUGGCAGUCACAUGCAUUACAAUGGGACUAGCGUGUGGGCCAGGUGGAGCUAUGGUGAAUGAACCAGGAAGCCCUGAGCUAUACCAGUUUACUGGGAGAAACAUCACUGAGGAUAUCUCAGGCUAGAGGCAUCAGGCCAGAUAAUCUCUCCUAUCUACCCCCCCCAAUGAAGGACUGUGAGGUGGCAAUUAUCAGGCCUGCUCUCUCUUUCCAUUUGCUCCCCCAUUUCCCCUGUUGUGUUUGCUCCAUUUUCUCUAAUAAAUAGUUAUGUCUUGAUA